AGGACAAACGCUGGCGGCGUACUUAAGACAUGCAAGUCGAACGGGCGCUUCACCUUCGGGUGGGUGUGCUAGUGGCGGACGGGUGAGUAACGCGUAGGAACCUGUCAUCAAGAGGGGGAUAACGCUGGGAAACCGGCGCUAAUACCGCAUGUGGUCAUGAAAAUGAAGAAAGCAGCAAUGCGCUUGAUGAGGGGCCUGCGUCCGAUUAGCUUGUUGGUGGGUAAAGGCCUACCAAGGCAUCGAUCGGUAGCUGGUCUGAGAGGAUGGUCAGCCACACUGGGACUGAGACACGGCCCAGACUCCUACGGGAGGCAGCAGUUAGGAAAUUUUCCCAAUGGGCGCAAGCCUGAGGGAGUAACGCCGCGUGGAGGAUGACGGCUUUCGGGUUGUAAACUGCUUUUCUCGGGGACGAGAACGGACGGUACCCGAGGAAUCAGCCCCGGCUAACUACGCGCCAGCAGCCGC
rnacentral:rRNA from 1 species